rnacentral:rRNA from 1 species
UGGUUCCUACGGGGGGCAGCAGUAGGGAAUCUUCCACAAUGGGGGAAACCCUGAUGCAGCGACGCCGCGUGAGUGAGGAAGUAUUUCGGUAUGUAAAGCUCUAUCAGCAGGGAAGAAAAUGACGGUACCUGACUAAGAAGCCCCGGCUAACUACGUGCCAGCAGCCGCGGUAAUACGUAGGGGGCAAGCGUUAUCCGGAUUUACUGGGUGUAAAGGGAGCGUAGACGGAAUUGCAAGUCUGAUGUGAAAAUCCGGGGCCCAACCCCGGAACUGCAUUGGAAACUGUAUUUCUAGAGUGUCGGGGG